ensembl:snRNA
GUGUUGUAUGCAAGGAGAGAAGGUUAGCACUCCCCUUGACAAGGAUGGAAGAGGCGCAUACAGUUAAGGCACUGCCACCUACUUCGUGGCAUCUAACCACUGUUUUUU